CGCCUGUUUAUCAAAAACAUCUUUUCUUGUUAGUUUUUGAAAUAUGGCCUGCCCGCUGACUUUGGUGUUGAAGGGCCGCGGUAUUUUGACCGUGCAAAGGUAGCAUAGUCAUUAGUUCUUUAAUUGUGAUCUGGUAUGAAUGGCUUGACGAGGCAUGGGCUGUCUUAAUUUUGAAUUGUUUAUUGAAUUUGGUCUUUGAGUUAAAAUUCUUAGAUGUUUUUAUGGGACGAGAAGACCCUAUAGAGUUUAACAUUUAUUAUGGUCCUUUUCUGUUUGUGAGGGUUCACUGGGCCAUCUAAUAUGUUUUGUUGGGGUGAUGGGAGUGAUUAAUUUAACCCCUCCUUUUAUUAUUAUAUUUAUUUAUAUUUACUUGAUCCAUUUAUUUUGAUUGUAAGAUUAAAUUACCUUAGGGAUAACAGCGUAA
rnacentral:rRNA from 1 species